rnacentral:rRNA from 1 species
AACGAACGCUGGCGGCAUGCCUAACACAUGCAAGUCGAACGAGACGUUCGGGUCUCGGGGCGCACGGGUGCGUAACGCGUGGGAACCUGCCCUUAGGUUCGGAAUAACUCCCCGAAUGGGGUGCUAAUACCGGAUAAUGUCUUCGGACCAAAGAUUUAUCGCCUUUGGGUGGGGGCGUGUUGGAUUAGGUUGUUGGUAGGGUAAAAGCCUACCAAGGCGACGAUGCAUAGCUGGUCGGAGAGGAUGAUCAGCCACAGUGGGACUGAGACACGGCCCAGACUCCUACGGAAGGGAGCAGUAUGGAAUACUGGGGGAGCGACGAAAGCCUGAUCCAGCAAUGUCGCGUGAGUCAUCAAGGCGUUAGGAUUGUAAAGCUCUUUUAGCCGGGAUGAUAAUGACAGUACCGGGAGAAGAAGCACCGGCUAACUCCGUG